rnacentral:rRNA from 1 species
AUUGAACGCUGGCGGCAGGCCUAACACAUGCAAGUCGAACGGUAACAGGAAGAAGCUUGCUUCUUUGCUGACGAGUGGCGGACGGGUGAGUAAUGUCUGGGAAACUGCCUGAUGGAGGGGGAUAACUACUGGAAACGGUAGCUAAUACCGCAUAAUGUCGCAAGACCAAAGAGGGGGACCUUCGGGCCUCUUGCCAUCGGAUGUGCCCAGAUGGGAUUAGCUAGUAGGUGGGGUAACGGCUCACCUAGGCGACGAUCCCUAGCUGGUCUGAGAGGAUGACCAGCCACACUGGAACUGAGACACGGUCCAGACUCCUACGGGAGGCAGCAGUGGGGAAUAUUGCACAAUGGGCGAAAGCCUGAUGCAGCUAUGCCGCGUGUAUGAAGAAGGCCUUCGGGUUGUAAAGUACUUUCAGCGGGGAGGAAGGGAGUAAAGUUAAUACCUUUGCUCAUUGACGUUACCCGCAGAAGAAGCACCGGCUAACUCCGUG